rnacentral:rRNA from 1 species
AACGAACGCUGGCGGCAUGCCUAACACAUGCAAGUCGAACGAAGGCUUCGGCCUUAGUGGCGCACGGGUGCGUAACGCGUGGGAAUCUGCCCCUCGGUUCGGAAUAACAGUUAGAAAUGACUGCUAAUACCGGAUGAUGACGAAAGUCCAAAGAUUUAUCGCCGAGGGAUGAGCCCGCGUAGGAUUAGCUUGUUGGUGGGGUAAUGGCCCACCAAGGCGACGAUCCUUAGCUGGUCUGAGAGGAUGAUCAGCCACACUGGGACUGAGACACGGCCCAGACUCCUACGGGAGGCAGCAGUGGGGAAUAUUGGACAAUGGGCGAAAGCCUGAUCCAGCAAUGCCGCGUGAGUGAUGAAGGCCUUAGGGUUGUAAGCUCUUUUACCAGGGAUGAUAAUGACAGUACCUGGAGAAUAAGCUCCGGCUAACUCCGUGCCAGCAGCCGCGGUAAAGUA